CACUUACUCAAGCUGCAGUCCCAGCUAAAACUGCAUGCAAUUUUGAUUUGAUUUUGCUUUCACUCCAGAUUUGUCUAAAUCUUCUUCCCCCCAGCCCCUCCAUUUGUCUCAUUCCCUCUCUCUACACUACACACAGAGGAGCAGCACAGGACAAUGCUCCCCUCCUGCCGGUCACCCAGCAACUGUGGGCCCAGGGCUGGAGCGGCAGUGCACCAGCCCUGAAGUUGUGGUGGCUCAUGGUGACAGGGUUUGCUACUGCGGGCGGGACCUUUGUUGUGACAGGCCCAGUCACAGC